rnacentral:tRNA from 1 species
UGUAUUAAAAUCCCAUAAACA